rnacentral:rRNA from 1 species
GACGAACGCUGGCGGCGCGCUUAACACAUGCAAGUCGAGCGAAGCGGCGGACGGGUGAGUAACACGUGAGUAACCUGCCUUAGACAUUGGGAUAGCCUCGGGAAACCGGGAUUAAUACCAAAUGGUCUAAGAUGGACUCGCGUCCCCUUAGCUAGUUGGUGAGGUAACGGCCCACCAAGGCGACGAUGGGGAGCCGGCCUGGUAGGGGGAACGGCCACAGUGGAACUGAGGAUCUGUCCAAACUCUACGGGAGACAGCAGUGGGGAAUAUUGCACAAGGGAGGGAACUCUGAUGCAGCGACGCCGCGUGAACGAAGAAGGCUUUCGAGUCGUAAAGUUCUUUUAUAUGGAGAGCGGUACCAUAAGAAAAAGCCCCGGCUAACUACGUGCCAGCAGCCGCGGUAAUAC